rnacentral:rRNA from 1 species
GAUGAACGCUGGCGGCGUGCCUAAUACAUGCAAGUCGAGCGAACAGACGAGGAGUUUGCUCCUCUGACGUUAGCGGCGGACGGGUGAGUAACACGUGUAAAACCCACCUAUCUGACUGGGAUAACCUCGGGAAACCGGCUCUAAUACCGGAUAAUAUCCUGAACCGCAUGGUUCAAUAGUGAAAUACGGUUUUGCUGUCACUUAUAGAUGGAUCGGCGCCGCAUUAGCUAGUUGGUAAGCUCAAGGCCUUCCAAGGCUACUAUGCGUAGCCGACCUGAGAGGGGGGUCGGCCACACUAGAACGUGAACGCGGACCAUGCGACUGCGGGAGGCAGCAGAAGGGUAUGUGCCGCAGUGGGCGAGAGCUUUGCGGAGCAGGGCGACGUGAGUGAUAAAAAUGUUCGGAGCGUGAAGCUCGGUUAUUAGGGAAGAACAAAUGUGGAAGUAACUAUAGACGUCGUGACGGUACCUGGUCAGGAAGCCACGGCUAACUACGUG